AUUGAACGCUGGCGGCAUGCCUUACACAUGCAAGUCGAGCGGCAGCGCGGGGGCAACCCUGGCGGCGAGCGGCGGACGGGUGAGUAAUACAUCGGAACGUGUCCUGUCGUGGGGGAGUAACCAGUCGAAAGACUGGCUAAUACCGCAUGAGAUCGAAAGAUGAAAGCGGGGGACCGGCAAGGCCUCGCGCGAUUGGAGCGGCCGAUGUCGGAUUAGCUUGUUGGCGGGGUAAAAGCCCACCAAGGCGACGACCCGUAGCUGGUUUGUAGAGAACGACCAGCCACACUGGGACUGAGACACGGCCCA
rnacentral:rRNA from 1 species